UACGUAGGGUGCAAGCGUUGUCCGGAAUCAUUGGGCGUAAAGCGCGCGUAGGUGGCUUCGUAAGUCCGUUGUGAAAGUCAAAGGCUCAACCUUUGAAUGCCGAUGGAUACUGCGAAGCUAGAGUACGGAAGAGGCGAGUGGAAUUCCUGGUGUAGCGGUGGAAUGCGCAGAUAUCAGGAGGAACACCGGUGGCGAAGGCGGUUCUCUGGGCCUUACCUGACACUGAGGAGCGAAAGCGUGGGGAGCGAACAGG
rnacentral:rRNA from 1 species